GUGCCAGCCGCCGCGGUAAAACGUAGGAGGCGAGCGUUAUCCGGAUUUACUGGGCGUAAAGCGCGCGCAGGCGGCUUGGUGAGUCGGACAUGAAAGCUCCUGGCUUAACUAGGAGAGGCUGUUCGAUACUGCUGGGCUUGAGGUUGGGAGAGGGGUGUGGAAUUCCCGGUGUAGUGGUGGAAUGCGUAGAUAUCGGGAGGAACACCUGUGGCGAAAGCGGCACCCUGGCCCACACCUGACGCUGAGGUGCGAAAGCGUGGGUAGCAAACAGGAUUAGAAACCCGCGUAGUCC
rnacentral:rRNA from 1 species